CAGCCUCCCCCGCCGCUACCCCCACCUCCGCCGCCGCUUACGGGACGGGCAGCGGCGCCGCGGCGGGAGGGCGCCCGUUGGGCCGCGGUCUGAGCCGCCGCCCGCCCCGGGCAACGCCGUGAAGGGCCGCCGUGUAGCCGGGCCCUGCCGUUACCUGGGAGAGCCGGGCUAUUUUUAACCUGGAUGUGUUCUGCGAUUUGUUUCCCACACAACAUUGAAACUGGCACAGCUGAGGGGCAGAAGAAGGCAUAGCUUUAAUUCCUGUUGGCUCAGUCACAUUAACUCAACAUGACUGAAAAGCCCUCUUCACCUCCAGAAACACAGAACUGAAUGUAGAUCUGCAUUAGAAACUUAUGCCUGGAGAAGAGGGUGUGUCUGGAAGUUCAGGUGCCUGCUUGGGACUUGGAUGAUCUGCGUCCAGGUUUCUGGCUUGCCAGAGACUCCCUGGGCUAUCCAAAUAAUUUUCCCGGUGAACUGAACUAUUGCCUCUGGAUAAUUUGCUGGUUUGCUGCCUACUGGAGCGGUGGAGUCCCCCCGAAUGCCUGAUGCCUGUGUACUGCCCAUGGCUGCUGCUCUGCAUAACCAAGAACCAUCUCUCGGUCACGGUGUGUGACAGGACACCUGGGACUUAGAGGUUCUAUGAGAUUUAAAAAUCAAACCAGCUAAUCAAGAUUCAAAACAGUGCUGGACUAAAAAGACUAAGCAAGUGGUACAGCCACAAGGUAAUUCAUCAGUUGAAGUCAAUAUCUCUAGAAGAGUUUGUCAAAAGGAAAUGUGAAGCAGCUGAAAAGAGGCAUCCUUAAAGUGAAUGUCAAAGGCCUUUGCAGCUGUUGUCCAGUAGACUGGGAGACUCUGGGCUUUGGGGAGAAAACAAGGGUAAAAGAAACAAAAAUUUGAGUACAGAGGAUAACGUACCAGUUCCCACUGAGUGAUUAUAAAGGAAGCAGUCUUAUCACUACAGGGACCUAAUUAGAGACUGAAUCUCACAACUGUCUAAUGUCUCCUCCAGGACACUCAGAAACCCAAACUAGCUAAAGUAGCCCCUUCAUACGGGCAGCAUUAGGAGGCUCUGCUGCUUCAGGGGCACGCUGAAAUGCCAGGUUUAUAUAGCUGUGGUGUUCUUGAAUCCUGUAGUCUGUUCAGUGCUCACUUAGGACCAGGGGAGCAACUUCAUUUUCUUGCCCAGGCAGUACAGCAUCAUCCCGGUCUUACAGAAGGCAGCAACAGGCUCCCACUGCGGUGUGCCCAAGACUCCUGGAGGAAUGACACCGGCACCCAUUUUCCCAGGUAAACAUAAAAGUUAAUUGUCAACAUUAACAAGAGAGAAUUUCACAUUCCUGUGACUCAUGGGCUAAAUAAGCGCUUUCAGCUGGUCUCUGAAAUGUCUUGUGCAGAUCAGGUGUGGAUCCUUCCUGGAGACGCCAGUGCUGCCAGGCAGUGGAUGUGGGCAUUGGUGUGUUAAGCCUAGGUGCAGGGUUCAGCUCUCCCACCCUGCUCCAGCUAUUGCCCAUCUGAGACACUGUCACCCUGCUCUGCCUCCUUUUGGAAAUGUGGAAACACUGACCGUAGCUUGAGGCAAACCUCAAUGCCCAUCCCUGCUCUAGCUGCUCCUACCUCCGAACUGCAGUGCAUCAUCACCUUGUCAUCAGUGCUCCAAGCAGGAGAUUCCCCGAGUUAGAGUCUUUUAUUUGUUUGGUGUUUUUUUCUAAGCAGCAACAAGUUUUUGCUGGAUUUUAUUUAAGACUGGUCGGUUCUGGGCUCUGGGGUGAGCGAGCAUUGGGGUCAGCAGGAAGGAAUUAUUUUAGCUGGUAUUGCCAUUAAAGGCACUUUUAAUGUAAUCCUGCAGAGUGAUUCUGUGCAGAUGGGAUUUCAGGGGAGCGCAGAGAUCUCUUUCAGUGUUACUGCUAGCAGCCAUGCUUUUCUGUGGCAGGAUUUUCCAGGUGUAGGGAGGGCUGUACCUACUGACCCCUCUCAGGGAGCUCAGCACUCCUGGGAAGAGUGAAGAUGGCUGCUCUGGAUGAGUAGGUGCAUUGUAGAUUGGGGUGCAGCGGUUUACAGGUCUCUGAAGUGGAGAGAAGGUAAGUGACCUGCCUAGAGAGAGCUCAGUGCUGAUGACAUCUGACAAGGACAUUUUCAUAACUGAAAUAAACAAACAGAUGCCUUUUUUGCUCUAGGGAAGUAAUUUCUUCUGUGCUACUAGCCUGAGACGGUUUGCUUGGCUUAGCCUGUAUUUUUACCAUAUGCAACAAGCCUUAACCACUUAGUUUGAGGCUGUUAUUCAUUUGGGGCCAACAUGCAACAUUUCUGGCAUUUCUUUUCCAUUUCUCUGGCCCUUAUAUGUUGAUAAUGUCUCCACUUGUGUAUAUGUGUUUUCUUCUUCAAUAUUUCAGUUCUCUUCUCUUAUAAUAUUUUAAAGCCUUAAUGGUCUGAUGCUGCAGAUGGAGAGUAUUAGUUACUUUCCAUGACCACUCUGGCUGCAAUGACUUCCUUUGCUUGACAAGCUGAUUACUCUGUCAAGGUGAAUGUUAAGUCUCUCUGGAGUAUUUCUGUGUGUCUUGUGCCAGAUUGCAAUUGCAAGCUGGUUUCUUAUCAGAUAUGCUGUUUCUCCAGACACAAAAUACCAGGAGUGAAACUGGGAUUUUGAGGAGCUUUAUUCCCCACUUCUCUACUGAGAUUGAUAUUGCUUUGGUUUAUACAAAUAGGAUUUAGAUGGCUAUAUCUCUAAAUGUGACAAACUAAUGUGUGGCAAGCAAACUCAACUGAUGAAAUUCAAUUGACAAAGAAAAUUUCCAUCCUGGCAACUACCCAGCAAAGUCUGCAAGCAGGUAUUAGGAGUCGAUAAUAACUGCACUGAGUCUGCCAAAGCUGCUGGAGGUGUCACUGACAGACAUCUUUGUGGAGCCAAAGGGCUGUUGCAGUGCCUGCUCCUUGCUGCAUGGCAUCACCACGUCCAAAAGGGCAGCGUCCUGGGUGAGCGGUGGGGCUGCCCGGCACCCCAAAGGGCUGGUUAUGGGCAGUAAGGACCAGAAAGGGACCUUUUAAAAAGCAUUGCAAAAAUGGCUUGACAUUAAGGUGGGGAAGAAACUCCCUCUCAGGUCUUGUCAUCAACACCUGAGUCCGCAGCUCCCUUCACAGACCCGGUGUGGGAUCCAGUGAGGUCUCUGCUUGCCACCAUGACCACACACAGCACCAAACCUUGCAUCCCAAUGCCAUGCACACACCACCCAGGCCUUCAGAGACCUAAAAAUGUCUGUAUUCUGCAUGACCCCUAAAAGAGGGGAGGCAGCAGUUGCAGCAUAGAAGCUGUAGCAUUAACAGUGUGUUCAGAUUGUCUGGUGGAUAUAAUUGAGGCAAAACAGCAAAACCCAACUAAAUCAAAUGCACUUCGUAGGAGUUCUGGAUGGACAACAGGUCACAUUGUUUGUGAGCUUCAAACCAGGUAAAGAGGGAUGAAUCUUCCACAGAGAAAUUGCUGACAUUGCCUCCAAAAUGUCAUCAUUAAGAUAGGAAAAACAUACAAAUUUAUCUUAAUUUUUCGUAGCUGAUAUGCUAUCAGGACGUGGCAUCUAGACCGCUAUAGGUAUUAAGAAUUUGGAAAAAUACACUAAGCAACACAAAGAACAUAAACCAGUGAGUGCUUUCUGAGAAGACAGGAAAACUGAGUCCCUAUGCCAUGGAAUGCUUCAGGAGAAUGAGUCCUAAUAGGUACAGUAUCCAAAUGUCACCUGGGACCAGAGUGUGAACAACUCUUUUGUAAUAUUACUUAGCAAAUGUCUCAACUUCUUGAGCCCAUUGCAGAAGAUAAAAUAAAAGGUUGGCCAGCAUUUUUAUCAUUAUUCAUUUACUCAUUAUUAUUCAUUUAUCAUUAUUAAUUUCUCUAACCACAUGUGGUGGUAUCUGAAUGCCUUGAAUAUCUGAGCAGGCGGGUCAAAGGAGAGCAGUGUGUAGACUUGUUUUUCAAAGGCACCUAUUUCCAUUAAGUGUUAACCUCAUUUUCUUUUAGGAGUUCGUUUUUCCUUGUAUAUUGUGACAGAAAUAAUAAAAUGAACAAAAGUGUGGUACACCUGUAAGAUGAACAUCAGGACAUCUACAUCUACAUCCAUCUACAGCCACACCAGUUCUGGGUGAGAUGUGAACACUAAGGGCAGAUGUUGGGCUGCUCUUCUCCCUGGCAGAUGUGGUCCUGGGGUUGCUCUCGUCACAGGAUCCCAUAGUGAGACCUUAGUGAAGAGCAGAAACAGAGCUUUUCUUGUGUCAUACCGUACAUGACAAGACAAGGAUGUGUUGGGGCACCUAUAUAUCAACCUACCUCAGAUCAGCUUCAUGCAGGAACGGAAGAAGAGCAACAUGCAUCCACCUCCUGGUUUUUUUCCCUGGUGUUUGUGGGAAGGAGGAAAAGCACCUAAUGCUAUCUGAGUUUAUGACAUUCCUGCUCACUCUGGGUAGAAAGGAACCUCUUCUCUCUCUGCCUGUGAGGGAAGUGCUGACUGUUGGUGUGAGUGAUGGGCAAGAAGCUCCAUCAGGGCCAACCUUGUUCUCUCGAAGGAUCUGCACCCUAGCUGCCCAGUACCCUGGGUUAGUCUGCUGGGAUGCCCUACCCUGUCCCCUCCUGGGCUCCCCACUCUUCUGUAGCUCAGAGCCCUGCCACUUUCUGUCCUUGGAAAGGCAGCGGUGGGGAGCAGGCUCCCAGGGGCUCCAGAGGAGCAGAGGGUCUCCAUCAGGGGUGUCUCUGCACGAGAUGAAGAAGGUUUCUCAUCCUCAGGGGACGCAAGCAGGAGCAGUCACGUUCUUCCCUCUGCAGCCAGCAGCACUCUGCUUUUCACUGUCAUUUAUUAGCCGACGGUGGUUUUCAUGUGUUGUGUUCCCCCCCCGGCCAGAAGCCAGGAGGGCUGAUGCUUGUGACAUCUCCUGGUGCACUGCCAGGGACUGUGGCAGUGUCCUCCUGCCCAGGAGGACAGCACAGGAUCCAUCCUCACCGCUUGCCCAGCCCUCCCCUCAAGACCUACUUUUUCCAGGAGAGGCAAGAUAACCUCGCCACUGAAAAUAGCUGGGACGGCAGCCAACGGAGAUUAAUGGCAUCAUUAACAUCCCCAGUGUAUUUAUAGGUUUAAAAAUGCCUCGGACAUGCAAACCAAGCAGAGUUCCUCUGUGUAACACAGGGGCUCCCAGGUCUCCAGGUUCUGCCUUUCCCCUUCCUGCUAUUUCAUCCUGGUCACUGGAACUAUAAAACCUCUAAAGCAGGGACUGUCUCUCAUUUCAAAACUAUUUUGUAAACCUUCCUAACUAGGGGGAUACACAUGGUUAUUUUUUUUCCAUCAAUGCUGUAUUUGCCUGGUCUCCUUCUUCCACCCAAAUAUUUCUGUGCUUAUUGUGUCCUGUGGCCCUGCUUUGGGAAAAUGCACUUUUUGACAAAUUCCUGAGACUUGGGCUGAGCAGUCAUCACAGGAAUUAGUAAAUUUCCACCUUGGAUUUUUAACUGUGAGCUCUGUGGGAGGGGAACUGGGAAUCUCUUAGCUGUGGAGAGCACCUAGGACAUGUGGGGCCCUGGUGAGAUGUGCAGAUGUAAUUAAUGACCAUGGAGAUCUUCCUGUGGGAGCCAACAGAGCCAGCCCAGUUCCCAGGUCCUCAUGGGACUGGCAAGAAAAGAAAAAAACACCCUGAGCGUUGGCCUCAGAACAGGAGUUUUCAGCACAUGAGCUGUGUCUGCGCCGCCUGGCCUGUUUCCCAGCCCUCAGUGAAAGGUAAGUGAGAAAGGGAGCGUGUUGUCAGCAGGCACAAAUCCAAGGCAUCAGCUGUGUGACUGGGAGAUGGCUAAAAUGCCAGUAGGGACCCCUCCCACCCAGAAAGGUGAGGUUGCUUCAGAGGGCAAUCACCCUUCACUUUGCUAUUGGUUUUUUGUUGUAUCAAUCUGAGAUAAACUCCUGUGUCGGUCUCUCCUUGGCCCUCUGUCUUCUAGGGGCUGAAAUAAAGAACCAGCAGAGAACUGUUCAAA